GCCUCCGGAGCGUAUUCACGGACGGACCGGGGCGGGGUCCGCACCAAGCCCCGCCCCCGAAUCCAGGCCCCGCCUCCGGCCUGCGCUGCGCAAGUUGUGCCUGCGGGUCGAGUUUCCAGAGAAACCCUGUCUUCGGGCAGCUCCACGGGUGCGUCUGACCUCCCAUCCGCUCAUCUUUUUACACGUUUACCUUUGACUCUUUCUUUGCUUAUUUGCAGGCUCUUUGCCAGGCGCUGGGAGAUCAGGGGUGAUUCACGCGCCCUGCCCACAGCGGGCUUGCAGUCUAGUGCUCAAGAUACUCUUGUCCACAACCAGCUGUGAUACAAAGCAAAUACAGCCAGUGCUCCAAUCAAGUGCGGUGGGAGGGUCAUAGUCACCACAAAAUGAUGAAAAUUACUUUUUAUUCAGCGCCUACUAUAUGCCCAUUAUCCCACAAGGGAAGAAGGCUUGGACUGCGCUUCUCACUCCCAACCCACCUCCACGCUGAUCUGUCUUCCUGACCCAGCACCUGCAGAGCUAACUCUAACCCACUGGCGCACCACCUGCAAGCUACACCAGCCUCCGUUGAGACCAUUCAUUUACAGCACAUGCCCAGGCAGCCUGACAAAGGACAACGGUGACCCCCUACCAAGGACACAUGCUGGACAAGCAGAGAAAACUGUACUGGAUAGACUAAACGCCCUCUUGAUUGGAAGGACAUGAACUUUAACCACUGGCUGUAUUUAUUUAGGAUACAAGAGACUAAACAGACAUUUGUUUCCCUGGAUUGACCUGUUUCAUCUGAGUCCCAGUUGGAGACAAAAGUGUGAUUCCCUCGGAUUGAUCACUGACAACCCCACUCCUUUUCUGAUGAAGCUUCCAAGGGAUACUUUUGCUUUAUCUUCAGAAGGCCUACUGCCCUGGAGCAUGCUGUUCUGGUGUCACACACAGUUUUCUAGCUUUUUAGUUUCUACCUGCUUUGGGGAUGGAUUUCAUUUCCCACAUUUCUGCCUGGGGAAAACUUCUACAAAAAGCAGAGGCUAAAAAAAAAAAAAAAAAAAAAAAAAAAAAAGGCAGAGGCUCCUGACUCAGAUCCAAAGAGUUGUCAGUGAAAAGAGAAGAUGGAACUGUAGACAGAAAUAACCCACUGAUGAAGCAAUUGUACGUGUGGGCAAGGGGAGAGAAAGUUCUGAGAUUCUAUGAGAAUCAAUAAGCACAGGUCGUUUCCUAUUAAGCCUCUCAAUGUGGCUGGGUCAACUGAUUAGAAAGAAAAGUAUCAGUUUCUCUUAGAUUUAUGGUUGGGGAAUUGUAGUCCAGUGACCAAACCCAAGCGAUGGGCGUGAAAUUCCACCUAAUUUAAUCUUGAUGCAUGGUAUGUAGUCAGGAAGUGAAACAAGUGUGGCCCUGACUCACACUUCUUUUAUUUCAAGUUUUGGGUUCCGGGGCUUGCUCAAGCAAUCAUUUCUCUUACCCCCCAGCAUGACACAGAUGUGCUCAUACCUUCUUUAGAACUGAGGUCCACAGUCAGGCAUACUGACUUGAUGUUUCCUGAAAUAUUUACUGAGUCCAAGGUUAAGGGAUACACUGUUGAGGAUUCUGCAUUCUGGGCAACGGGUACUAGUCAGUGUCUGGGACACAGCUCACCACAUGUUAAUUGGUGAAGCCAGCAUGUUUCCAGCAACCCACACUAGAGCACAUUUUAAUGCUUGCCUGAAAACAAUGUUCUGAAGUAAUUUCCCAAAGUCCCAGAAAUGAAAAUCCCUUUAGGCCAGAAACUGCCUUGGAGAGAUCAGAAUAUGAAUUGAACUCCUAUUUUUAACAGAAGUAGAAGGGAGGGAGGGGAGUAAUAUCUACCUACCAUGAAAUUCUAUCACAUUUUUUAAAUCUGGAAAUUAACACUCUCUCUCUAUAGAUAGAUAGAUAUAGAUAUAUAAAAUAAAUGAACUUUAAUUAAAAACAAAAACACAAAAACCUGUUCUGAGCCAGAUGGUGAAGUGUAGGGGCCAAGGGCAGGCUGCCUCCAAACAGGCCACGUUGGCAUGAAGAUUAUCUUCAGGUACAAAACAAUCAAAACCCAGCAGAUUCUGAAAAAGCUCUUUACCUCCCCCUCAACGCCCUAAAAGGAUUUAGAUAGAAGACCUACUCCAGGAAGAGAGCUAUCACCAUAGGUAACCCUUCUGUUAUGAACUAGGUGUGGUAGAUGGGGAGUAACCUAGCAAGGCCUCUUUGAUCAAAGUUCUGUAUGUCCUGGGUAGCUCAGUAGGUUAAGUGUGAAACUCUUGAUUUUGGCUCGGGUCAGGAUCUCACAAUCGCACGGUCGUGAGAUGGAGCUCUGCUUUCAGCUCCGAACUCGGGUAUGAAACCUGCUAAAGAUUCUUUUUUCCUCUCCCUCACACUCCCUCUCUAAAAUAAAAAAAUAAAAUAAA